AGAAAUCCAGACUUGAAAUCUAGGCAUUAGCUGUGAAAACCGAACAAACAGAGGAGAGAGAUUCUCAGCAGAAGUGCACCCUUGCAAAACACACACCAAAUCCAGCACUGCAAUUAUCUGUGCUACUAAGGAAGCCCAAUGAAGCAUCUCUGGCAAAACCCAUGAAGCAUCUCUGGCAAACCUCCCACCCUUUCAUCUGCUUUCUCUGCUCACUCUGUGAGCAAGAUAGAUCUCUUCUUCUUCAUCACAGGAAGGUACUUACAGAAAGAUGCCUUCUUCAUGCAGUGUGCCUGGCCCACAUGGGAGAGCAGCCCUAGGCAGCUGAGGGUUCAGGGGCUCUUGGAACGGCAGUACUCGGCUAAUGUGGCAAACCAGCCUCUGCAGGGUUAAAGAUGAGCUCAUCAGUCUGGGUGAUGACAAGUAGGAAAGAAAAUACAAGCAAGGAGUCAUUAAUUAAGGCAAGAAGCUAGGAGCAGAGACCACAGAAUGCUAAUCAGUCUGGAGGGAAGGCUGCGUGGAAAGCAGCAAUGAAGCUCCUUCAGCUUUAAUUAAAUCUAACUAUAUCAAGGAUGUGACAUCUUUGCUUCACCUCUGCUUUUGAGCUGAGAAACCGGUUGGAGCAUGUACGCUGUUACUGAGCAGACAGGAAUUCCCUCCUGGCUCCAGAGCCUUCCCAACUGAAACUCAGUGCCUGCCCAUCCUGCUCAUGUGCUCCCCAAAAU